UGCCGGCGGGAGGCAGCUCUGAUUGGCUGGCGGCUCCAGGGUGCCGUUAGCUGGAGACGCCCCUCGGGCCAGGGGACACACCCACAAGUCUGGAAGCGGGAGAAGCGGCCGUGUCUGUGCGCCAGCGCCGGACUUUUCGGCUCUGUUCGCGCCGUCCCAGCUCGGCUCCGAUCUUACAGCCACAGGGACUGAAGACCUGGGUAAUGCAGAAUGUGGCGGGGCACUGGACUGCGCCUGCCUCCGAGGACCAAGGACCCUCCCUCCCUGCCGGAGCCUCAGGUGGAAGUGGGCGGAGUCCCUGCCCUGGAGGGGCUGAAUCAUUGUUUAUAUGGAAAUAUGCCUGAUUUUUGAGUGUUAAUUGUGUAUCCUGCAACUUGGCUGAAUCCUGUUUUAGUUUUGACAGUUUUCUGGUGGAUUUUUCUACUUAAAUGAUGUCAUCUAUGAACACAGAUCAUUUUACUUCUUC